GUUGAAAAUAAUUUGUUUGUUAUUUCAUAUCAGGAAACAAAUUGUUUUUGCUGGAAUUGUGCUUGUUAGAACAGUAAUUUUUCUUUUAUGCUGCAUCCAAUUUGACUUUUGAAUAUGCACUUUUUUUUUGGUCUUCCUGUUAGUCUGCUGUAAUACAAAUGAAAUCAUAAAUUUUCUCACAAUUGUUACAUUGCAAUUACCUGUAAUUUCUAUCAAUCAAUUGUCGCAUGACUCCAAAUGUUACGAAACCAAAACAGAAGGUUACAAUAAUGCAGUAGCUGUCACUAUAAUUUCAAUCAAUUGUUGUGUGUCUUUCUAGCUAGAGAUUUCAAUGGUUUUGACCUCUGGUUUUUUACUUCUUCUUUAGGAACAGUAACAGUAAGCACUCCAUUCUACAUAGCAGCAGCCUUCACCUGAUCCAUCUUCGCAUUCUCAUGCAACCUGAACCUCCUCAAGAACUUGCCACUGCUACUCUCAAUUCGGUGCCACUGGUCGUUCUUCUUUUCCUUCUCUUUGGUCCUCUCUCCACUAAUCUGAACUACUUUGCCCUUGAUCAGCUUUCAAGAUGUGAGCUUCUGGGUCUCCUUCCAAUCAAUUCGGGCAACGAAAAGGGAAGUUGAGAAGGAAAGUGAAGACACUCGAGGCUAGUGGCGGCUGGGGAAGCUGAGAUUUGAGAUGUUUUUUGUGGGUUGGAAAUGCAGUGGCAUGCCUUAGCAUUACGAGUCGUCUUUUUGAGCAUUGAAAAAUUGCCAUUUUGUUAUCAUACUAAUCCUGAAACCAGUGUUUUAUUUUUGUGUUUUAUGGACAGUAGUAAGGCUGAUGACUGAAACUAGUAGUCUUACCCUUCGAUCUCUUUUUUGGCUUUCAAGCUAUCAGUAAGCUAUCACUCCACAUCUCUCAAUUGUGGAGUGAACAAGAUUCAGUUCCAUGUUGGAUAAUACUCCUGUCGACA